CCUACGGGCGGCAGCAGUGGGGAAUAUUGCACAAUGGGGGGAACCUUGAUGCAGCAACGCCGCGUGGGUGAAGAAGUACUCCGGUAUGUAAAGCCCUGUCAGCCGGGAAGAAAAUGACGGUACCUGACCACGAAGCCCCGGCCAACUACGUGCCAGCAGCCGGGGUAAUACGUAGGGGGCAAGCGUUAUCCGGAUUUACUGGGUGUAAAGGGAGCGUAGACGGCAAGGCAAGUCUGGAGUGAAAGCCCGUGGCCCAACCACGGGACUGCUUUGGAAACUGUGUGGCUGGAGUGCAGGAGAGGUACGCGGAAUGCGUAGUGUAGCGGUGAAAUGCGUAGUUAUUAGGAGGAACACCGGUGGCGAAGGCAGCCUGCUGGACUGCAACUGACGUUGAGGCCCGAAAGCGUGGGGAGCAAACAGGAUUAGAUACCCGGGUAGUC
rnacentral:rRNA from 1 species